CACACCACGGAAUGCUGCUUGCACUUGGAGCAGUCACCUGUGUAGCAGGAUACAGUUGCAUCUAACACUGCAGGUGGUCCUGAGGUCGGUUGUCUUCCCUACAUGGAUGGAUGUUGGGAUCUAGCUGACCUCUCCUGUAGUCAGACUUCCAAGCGGACCUGGACCUUUUCGCAUGCUGCUUGUGCUGUUCUGCUAACAACAACAUACUUGUUUUCUUGACAGCAGAAGCUCCAACAUCAACAUCUCAUCCUCCGAUGUCAUUUGAAGUUGAUGGAUCUGGUUUGAACUCAGGAACAUUGAUCGCACCCACCAGUUGUCGCUGUCACCACCAGAGCACACCACGGAAUGCUGCUUGCACUUGGAGCAGUCACCUGUGUAGCAGGAUACAGUUGCAUCUAACACUGCAGGUGGUCCUGAGGUCGGUUGUCUUCCCUACAUGGAUGGAUGUUGGGAUCUAGCUGACCUCUCCUGUAGUCAGACUUCCAAGCGGACCUGGACCUUUUCGCAUGCUGCUUGUGCUGUUCUGCUAACAACAACAUACUUGUUUUCUUGACAGCAGAAGCUCCAACAUCAACAUCUCAUCCUCCGAUGUCAUUUGAAGUUGAUGGAUCUGGUUUGAACUCAGGAACAUUGAUCGCACCCACCAGUUGUCGCUGUCACCACCAGAGCACACCACGGAAUGCUGCUUGCACUUGGAGCAGUCACCUGUGUAGCAGGAUACAGUUGCAUCUAACACUGCAGGUGGUCCUGAGGUCGGUUGUCUUCCCUACAUGGAUGGAUGUUGGGAUCUAGCUGACCUCUCCUGUAGUCAGACUUCCAAGCGGACCUGGACCUUUUCGCAUGCUGCUUGUGCUGUUCUGCUAACAACAACAUACUUGUUUUCUUGACAGCAGAAGCUCCAACAUCAACAUCUCAUCCUCCGAUGUCAUUUGAAGUUGAUGGAUCUGGUUUGAACUCAGGAACAUUGAUCGCACCCACCAGUUGUCGCUGUCACCACCAGAGCACACCACGGAAUGCUGCUUGCACUUGGAGCAGUCACCUGUGUAGCAGGAUACAGUUGCAUCUAACACUGCAGGUGGUCCUGAGGUCGGUUGUCUUCCCUACAUGGAUGGAUGUUGGGAUCUAGCUGACCUCUCCUGUAGUCAGACUUCCAAGCGGACCUGGACCUUUUCGCAUGCUGCUUGUGCUGUUCUGCUAACAACAACAUACUUGUUUUCUUGACAGCAGAAGCUCCAACAUCAACAUCUCAUCCUCCGAUGUCAUUUGAAGUUGAUGGAUCUGGUUUGAACUCAGGAACAUUGAUCGCACCCACCAGUUGUCGCUGUCACCACCAGAGCACACCACGGAAUGCUGCUUGCACUUGGAGCAGUCACCUGUGUAGCAGGAUACAGUUGCAUCUAACACUGCAGGUGGUCCUGAGGUCGGUUGUCUUCCCUACAUGGAUGGAUGUUGGGAUCUAGCUGACCUCUCCUGUAGUCAGACUUCCAAGCGGACCUGGACCUUUUCGCAUGCUGCUUGUGCUGUUCUGCUAACAACAACAUACUUGUUUUCUUGACAGCAGAAGCUCCAACAUCAACAUCUCAUCCUCCGAUGUCAUUUGAAGUUGAUGGAUCUGGUUUGAACUCAGGAACAUUGAUCGCACCCACCAGUUGUCGCUGUCACCACCAGAGCACACCACGGAAUGCUGCUUGCACUUGGAGCAGUCACCUGUGUAGCAGGAUACAGUUGCAUCUAACACUGCAGGUGGUCCUGAGGUCGGUUGUCUUCCCUACAUGGAUGGAUGUUGGGAUCUAGCUGACCUCUCCUGUAGUCAGACUUCCAAGCU